rnacentral:rRNA from 1 species
UACGUAGGGGGCAAGCGUUGUCCGGAAUCAUUGGGCGUAAAGAGCGUGUAGGCGGUCCGUUAAGUCGGCUGUGAAAGUCCAAGGCUCAACCUUGGGAUGCCGGUCGAUACUGCCGGACUAGAGUUCGGAAGAGGCGAGUGGAAUUCCCGGUGUAGCGGUGAAAUGCGCAGAUAUCGGGAGGAACACCUAUGGCGAAGGCAGCUCGCUGGGACGUUACUGACGCUGAGACGCGAAAGCGUGGGGAGCGAACGGG